rnacentral:rRNA from 1 species
GAUGAACGCUGGCGGCGUGCCUAAUACAUGCAAGUCGAGCGAACAGACGAGGAGCUUGCUCCUCUGACGUUAGCGGCGGACGGGUGAGUAACACGUGGAUAACCUACCUAUAAGACUGGGAUAACUUCGGGAAACCGGAGCUAAUACCGGAUAAUAUAUUGAACCGCAUGGUUCAAUAGUGAAAGACGGUUUUGCUGUCACUUAUAGAUGGAUCCGCGCCGCAUUAGCUAGUUGGUAAGGUAACGGCUUACCAAGGCAACGAUGCGUAGCCGACCUGAGAGGGUGAUCGGCCACACUGGAACUGAGACACGGUCCAGACCCCUACGGGAGGCAGCAGUCGGGAAUCUUCCGCAAUGGGCGAAAGCCUGACGGAGCAACGCCGCGUGAGUGAUGAGGGUCUUCGGAUCGUAAAACUCUGUUAUUAGGGAAGAACAAAUGUGUAAGUAACUAUGCACGUCUUGACGGUACCUAAUCAGAAAGCCACGGCUAACUACGUG